CUAAAAGCUCAGAGCCUUUUGAAUCCAUAGUGUCACCAGCUAAAAGCUCAGAGCCUUUUGAAUCCAUAGUGUUCUCACCAGGACAGGGUAUUUGGAAGCAGCUGUUGUGGGAGUGUGUACACACACACAGAAAUCCAAGUGGAAUUCUGAAUGAUUGGCACCAUGGGAAACCCAACACUUGAUAAAGAGCAGUGCAUAUGGUGAAUGUGGGGGACAAAUUCUGAAGCUGUAAUUCAGGGUGCAAAAAUUGAUAUUUUAUCCCCAACAUGCUCCUAACCUGGGCACUCUGGCACCCACUCAGCAGAGGCAGAGGACUGCUCAGAGGUUGAAGGAAUGCACACUGAUGCCAUUUCCUGAGGAAUUGGGCAAUUCUUCCUGGCAGGAGCUGCUGGUUACCAGAGACUGUGUUUGCUGAAGGUGGGAACACCCAUGUGAGCAAAAAGCACUCUUCCCAUGAGCACUGACUGAACUCUGACACACUAAAAAUCCUUAAGAAUUUUCCAAAUUUUCACUACUGCUUAUUUUGAUUUGGGGUUGUCCAGCCUGUCUGUCCAUCCAGCCUGUCUGUCCAUCCAGCCCUUGAUCCCCCUGGGGAAGACCUGACCCUCCAAGAGGGACUGUUGGAUCACUUAAAGGAUGUCACACAAAGAGAUAUUCCAUGGGAGAUUGGUG
rnacentral:lncRNA from 1 species